UACGUAGGGUGCAAGCGUUAAUCGGAAUUACUGGGCGUAAAGCGUGCGCAGGCGGUUAUGUAAGACAGUUGUGAAAUCCCCGGGCUCAACCUGGGAACUGCAUCUGUGACUGCAUAGCGUAGAGUACGGUAGAGGGGGAUGGAAUUCCGCGUGUAGCAGUGAAAUGCGUAGAUAUGCGGAGGAACACCGAUGGCGAAGGCAAUCCCCCUGGG
rnacentral:rRNA from 1 species